AUGGCGCCCACCGCCUCCUUCUUCUUCGGCGCCGCCCCGGAGGACACGCCGGCGGCUGACGUCUCGGCCCAUGCCGUCGUGCCGGACCUCUCCGACGCGGUAGCGCGGGCGCGGUUACGCCGGCAGGAAGCGUCCGGGCAGGGGAGGCAGCAGGCGGCCUCCCGCGUCGGCGGCGGCGGCGGCGGCCCGCCGCCGAGGAAGACCCCGCAGCGCGGCCUCGGCGUGGCGGAGCUCGAGCGCCUGCGCUGCGGCGGCGUCGACCCGCUGCAGGACCUCAGCGCCGCGGCCGCGGCUGCCAUCCUGGAGGCUGCCGCCGCCAACCUGCAGGCGCAGGGCAACCCCGUCGUCCUGCAGCACCACCACGACUACCUGCCCGCCUUCGACGCCGCCACCGGCUCGCACUACUACUCGCCGCUCCUGGUCCAGCCGCCGCCCGCCCCUCCGGCGCCGCAGCCGCAGCCGCCGGCUCCCGUCCGCUUCGUCCAGGGCGUGGCGCCCGAGCAGCAGUACUUCAUGGAGCGCUGGGCCGCAUGGGGGGCUUCGUCCCGGCGGGCAAUGGCCAGCAGCCGCAGCUCCAGGUGCCGGCGCCAGAGUGCCCUUCAAGCCAAAGCACCAUCUGGCGUCCGGCGUGCUCCUCCGCCUCCUGCCUCCACGCGGGCCAACGCUGCGACCUCUGCUCCAAGAUGA
rnacentral:rRNA from 1 species